AUGGCGGGGUCAGAGCAGCAGCAGAGGGAGCUGGUGCUGUUCGACACGAGGACAAAGAAGGCGGAGAUGUUCCGGCCGCUGGUGGAGGGCAAAGUGAGCAUGUACGUCUGCGGCGUGACGCCCUACGACUUCAGCCACGUUGGCCACGCCCGCGCUUACGUCGCCUUUGACGUCCUCUACAGGUACCUAAAGUACUUGGGGUACGAGGUUGAGUACGUGCGCAACUUCACUGAUAUCGAUGACAAGAUUAUUAGACGAGCAAAUGAAGCUGGUGAAACGGCAACUAGUUUGAGUAGUCGGUUCAUCGAUGAGUUCCUGCGUGACAUGGUUGAACUUCAGUGCUUGCCUCCUACUCGCGAGCCACGUGUGACAGAGCACAUUAAGCAGAUAAUAGAUUUGAUAACCAAGAUAGAGGAAAAAGGGAAAGCCUAUACUAUUGAAGGAGACGGCGUAUACUUCUCAGUUGAUAAUUUCCCUGAAUAUCUUAGUCUGUCUGGAAGGAGCUUAGACCAUAAUCUUCCGGGGUCACGAGUCGCUGUCGAUACAAGAAAGCGCAAUCCUGCAGACUUUGCAUUAUGGAAGUCUGCUAAGGAGGGUGAGCCAUUCUGGGAAAGCCCUUGGGGCCGUGGGAGACCAGGAUGGCAUAUUGAGUGCAGUGCAAUGAGCGGGCAUUAUUUAGGCCAUGCGUUUGAUAUUCAUGGCGGAGGAAAAGAUUUGAUCUUUCCACAUCAUGAGAACGAGCUCGCGCAAAGCAGAGCAGCGAAUCCUGAGAGCGAGGUCAAAUGCUGGAUGCAUAAUGGCUUUGUCAACAACAAUGGCCAGAAGAUGGCAAAAGCAGACAAAAACUUCUUCACUAUCAGAGAUGUUAUCACUCUGUACCAUCCAAUGGCUCUCAGGCUAUUCCUGAUGCGAACACACUACAGGUCCGAUGUUAACCACUCUGAUGCAGGCCUUGAGUUUGCAUCUGGCCGUGUGUACUAUAUUUAUCAGACUCUGAAAAUAGUCAUAUCCUUGUACCAUGAUGACAAGUUGGAUGUCCCAGUACCAGCAGGCGACCGGAAGGUGGUUGAGGACAACCACGAAAGUUUCCUGAGACACAUGUCGAACGAUCUUCACACGACAGGUGCCCUCGAUGAGCUUAUGAAGCCAGUGAGAGCAAUGAACAACAACUUGAGUGAUCUGAAGGUGGUGAAGCAGCUGAAGGAGAAGGCGCUGAAGCGAGCAGGGAUGAGCGAAGAGGAGCUGCAGCAGGUGAUUGAGCAGAGAAGCGCUGCGAGGAAGAAGGAGUUUGCGGAGUCGGACCGGAUGAGGGCGGAGCUGUCUGCCCGCGGCAUCGCCUUGAUGGAUGAGCCUGCCGGGACGCUGUGGAAGCCAUCUGAACCAGCAGAACUAGUUGAAGAACCGUAG
rnacentral:rRNA from 1 species